rnacentral:lncRNA from 1 species
CCGCAUCUCCUUCUGAAUCUCCAUUGGCAUCUCCACCAGCUCCACCAACUGCUGACACUCCAGCAUUUGCUCCCUCCGGCGGCGUUGCUCUUCCUCCAUCCAUCGGCGCUGCUCCCGCCGGUUCUCCAACCUCGUCUCCUAACGUUGCCUCCUUGAACAGAGUCACCGUCGCCGGAUCUGCCGUUGUAGCGAUCUUCGCUGCAUCUUUGAUGUUUUAGAUCUGAGGAGAGUUUGCAUUUUGGAUUUUCACGAGAUGUUUAUUAUUUUAGGAUUUAUUUAGUUCAUCUUACUCGUUGAUGUUUAUUCGUUUUGUUUUACUUUUACCCGUGGGCGGUGGUGACUGCGUACAUGCUAUUGAUUUGAUUUUUACUCUGGUUAUUGUUUAUUGUUACUACCACUAUUAUUAUUAUGGAUUCUUUGUUUAUUUAUGAAGCACUAUGAUUUACUCUUAUAUGCAAUCUCUUUAUGUUCUUUAAUUAAUUUAUUUAUUUCC